rnacentral:rRNA from 1 species
AACGAACGCUGGCGGCAUGCCUAACACAUGCAAGUCGAACGAGACCUUCGGGUCUAGUGGCGCACGGGUGCGUAACGCGUGGGAACCUGCCCUUAGGUUCGGAAUAACUCCCCGAAAGGGGUGCUAAUACCGGAUAAUGUCUUCGGACCAAAGAUUUAUCGCCUUUGGAUGGGCCCGCGUUGGAUUAGCUAGUUGGUAGGGUAAAAGCCUACCAAGGCGACGAUCCAUAGCUGGUCUGAGAGGAUGAUCAGCCACACUGGGACUGAGACACGGCCCAGACUCCUACGGGAGGCAGCAGUGGGUAAUAUUGGACGAUGGGCGAAAGCCUGAUCCAGCCAUGCCGCGUGAGUGAUGAAGGCCUUAGGGUUGUAAAGCUCUUUUACCCGGGAUGAUAAUGACAGUACCGGGAGAAUAAGCUCCGGCUAACUCCGUG